GUUUUAGUGCUUUUUAUUGAUUUGAAACCGUGACUUUUUCAAACCACAAUAUACCUUGAAACCGGUAACCGACC